rnacentral:rRNA from 1 species
CCUGACUGCUAUCGGAGUGAGACUAAGCCAUGCGAGUCGUACGUCCCUCGGCUGCGAGGGGCGUGGCGAACGGCUCAGUAACACGUAGCCAACCUACCCUGAAGACGUGGAUAACCCCGGGAAACUGGGAUUAAUCCACGGUAGGCCAUGACUUCUGGAAUUGGGUCAUGGCUGAAAGGGAUGGAUAGGCAUGCUCUAUUCAUCCCGCUUCAGGAUGGGGCUGCGGCCGAUCAGGUAGUUGGUGGGGUAAUGGCCCACCAAGCCUAUAACCGGUACGGGCUUUGAGAGAAGGAGCCCGGAGAUGGACACUGAGACAAGGGUCCAGGUCCUACGGGGCGCAGCAGGCGCGAAGACUUCGCAAUGCGCGAAAGCGCGACGAGGUUACUCCGAGUGCCGUCCGCUGAGGACGGCUUUUCCCAGGUCUAAAAAGCCUGGGGAAUAAGGGGAGGGUAAGUCUGGUGUCAGCCGCCGCGGUAAUACCAGCUCCCCGAGUGGUCAGGACGAUUAUUGGGCCUAAAGCGUCCGUAGCCGGCCCUGUAAGUCUCCUGUUAAAUUCAUCGGCUCAACCGAUGAGCUGCAGGAGAUACUGCAGGGCUAGGAGGCGGGAGAGGCGGACGGUAUUCCGUGGGUAGGGGUAAAAUCCUCUGAUCCACGGAGGACCACCAGUGGCGAAGGCGGUCCGCCAGAACGUGCUCGACGGUGGGGGACGAAAGCUGGGGGAGCGAACCGGAUUAGAUACCCGGGUAGUCCCAGCUGUAAACGAUGCGGGCUAGGCGAUGGGAUAGCUACGGGCUAUCCCAGUGCCGCAGGGAAGCCGUUAAGCCCGCCGCCUGGGGAGUACGGCCGCAAGACUGAAACUUAAAGGAAUUGGCGGGGGAGCACCACAAGGGGUGAAGCCUGCGGUUU